rnacentral:rRNA from 1 species
AGAGUUUGAUCCUGGCUCAGAACGAACGCUGGCGGCAGGCUUAACACAUGCAAGUCGAACGCACCUUCGGGUGAGUGGCAGACGGGUGAGUAACGCGUGGGAACGUGCCCUUCAGUUCGGAAUAACCCAGGGAAACUUGGGCUAAUACCGGAUACGUGCGAGAGCAGAAAGAUUUAUCGCUGAAGGAUCGGCCCGCGUCUGAUUAGCUAGUUGGUGGGGUAAUGGCCCACCAAGGCGACGAUCAGUAGCUGGUCUGAGAGGAUGAUCAGCCACAUUGGGACUGAGACACGGCCCAAACUCCUACGGGAGGCAGCAGUGGGGAAUAUUGGACAAUGGGCGCAAGCCUGAUCCAGCCAUGCCGCGUGAGUGAUGAAGGCCUUAGGGUUGUAAAGCUCUUUCGGCGGGGACGAUAAUGACGGUACCCGCAGAAGAAGCCCCGGCUAACUUCGUGCCAGCAGCCGCGGUAAUACGAAGGGGGCUAGCGUUGUUCGGAAUCACUGGGCGUAAAGGGCGCGUAGGCGGCUUGAUAAGUCGGGGGUGAAAGCCUGUGGCUCAACCACAGAAUUGCCUUCGAUACUGUCUGGCUUGAGACCGGAAGAGGUAAGUGGAACUGCGAGUGUAGAGGUGAAAUUCGUAGAUAUUCGCAAGAACACCAGUGGCGAAGGCGGCUUACUGGUCCGGUUCUGNNGCUGAGGCGCGAAAGCGUGGGGAGCAAACAGGAUUAGAUACCCUAGUAGUCC